UAAUAACAUUCUUCUUUAUACAGCAUUUUGAAGCUAUUUCUUGUUUUUGCGAUUAUUGGUAGAGGUAUGCCUUUCUCAGUGGCAUACUGGUAAAGUCCAGAGCCUUAACACAGGCUGUCAAUAAAUGCAAAGUUCAAGCUGAGCAUUUUCUAACAAAGAUACUUAAGUAUAACAAGACCCACUAGAGUUUUUUAAACUAUAUUUUAAUAGUUAACCUGGAGCCUGGUAGCUCUGCUGGGUAGCUAGACCCAGAAGAGCAAAAACAGUCACUAC
rnacentral:lncRNA from 1 species